rnacentral:rRNA from 1 species
CAAUCAGGGGUCGGUUCGUAGCAAUACGAACCUGGCAAUUUGGCUAUAUGCUGGAAUAUCCGUCCACUAUCUAAACGUUGAAAAGUGGUUAGUAUCCUUUGUCACUGUAAUUGUUAUACAGGGAAGCGCAAACGAUCGUGUUUUCACUUGUGAAAACAAGACGUUUCGUCGUGUUUUUAAAAAAUAAAAAACACAACGAAAGGUGCGGACAAUCAGCAGGGAAGUUCUCUACUUAUGUGGUAUAACUUGUUACACAUAAGCAUAACCCCUCAACGACUACACGCCGAACAUCCUAACUUUAGGAUGAUGAUAUAGUCUGAACUACUAGGCGACUAGUAGAUACUUUCGUUUGAAUUCAAACGACAGUAUAAGGAAUGAAUAUUAAAGGAAUAUUAAAUAAUUAAAUAUCACAAACACUAUGUCAUUAACACAACAACAAAAAGACUUAAUUUUCGGAUCUCUACUGGGUGAUGGAAAUUUACAAACUGGUUCAGUAGGUAGGACUUGGCGCUAUCGAGCGCUCCAUAAAAGUGAGCAUCAGACAUACUUAUUUCAUAAGUAUGAAAUCUUAAAGCCGCUUUGUGGCGAAAAUACUCUCCCAACAGAAAGUAUAGUGUUCGACGAAAGAACAAACAAGGAGGUUAAACGUUGGUUUUUCAACACAUUAACCAAUCCUUCCUUAAAAUUCUUCGCAGACAUGUUCUACACAUAUGACCAAAACACACAAAAAUGGGUUAAAGAUGUACCUGUAAAGGUUCAAACAUUCUUAACUCCUCAAGCUUUAGCAUACUUUUAUAUAGACGAUGGAGCGUUAAAAUGGCUUAAUAAGUCUAACGCUAUGCAAAUUUGUACUGAAAGUUUCAGUCAAGGGGGCACGAUUCGGAUCCAAAAAGCACUAAAAACGCUCUAUAAUAUUGAUACAACGUUGACAAAAAAAACUCUACAAGACGGCAGAAUUGGCUAUCGUAUAGCUAUUCCUGAAGCCAGUAGCGGUGCUUUUCGUGAAGUCAUUAAACCUUUUCUAGUUGAUUGUAUGAGAUACAAAGUUUCUGAUGGCAAUAAAGGCCACCUUUAGAAUUCCUUAUAACAUAUUUGCGAUGUCGGCUCAUCGCAUCCUG